GCGGGAGUAGCUCAGUUGGUAGAGCGCCUGCCUUCCAAGCAGGAUGUCGCGGGUCCGAGUCCCGUCUCCCGCU
rnacentral:tRNA from 1 species